rnacentral:rRNA from 1 species
UCUACCCAUGUCCAGGAUGAAGGUAAGGUAAUACUUACUGGAGGUCCGAACCCACGCACGUUGAAAAGUGCGGGGAUGAGGUGUGGGUAGCGGAGAAAUUCCAAUCGAACUUGGAGAUAGCUGGUUCUCUCCGAAAUAGCUUUAGGGCUAGCCUCGAGGUAAAGAGUCAUGGAGGUAGAGCACUGUUUGGACUAGGGGCCCUUCUCGGGUUACCGAAUUCAGAUAAACUCCGAAUGCCAUGUACUUAUACUCGGGAGUCAGACUGCGAGUGAUAAGAUCCGUAGUCGAAAGGGAAACAGCCCAGACCACCAGUUAAGGUCCCCAAAUAUAUGUUAAGUGGAAAAGGAUGUGGGGUUGCUUAGACAACCAGGAUGUUGGCUUAGAAGCAGCCACCAUUGAAAGAGUGCGUAAUAGCUCACUGGUCGAGUGACCCCGCGCCGAAAAUGUACCGGGGCUAAACAUAUUACCGAAACUGUGGAUGAACCUCUUUAGAGGUUCGUGGUAGGAGAGCGUUCUAAGGGCGGUGAAGUCAGACCGGAAGGACUGGUGGAGCGCUUAGAAGUGAGAAUGCCGGUAUGAGUAGCGAAAGAAGGGUGAGAAUCCCUUCCACCGAAUAUCUAAGGUUUCCUGAGGAAGGCUCGUCCGCUCAGGGUUAGUCGGGACCUAAGCCGAGGCCGAUAGGCGUAGGCGAUGGACAACAGGUAGAGAUUCCUGUACCAGUGCUAAUUGUUUAACCGAUGGGGUGACACAGAAGGAUAGGGAAUCGCACGAAUGGAAAUGUGCGUCCAAGCAGUGAGUGUGAGAAGUAGGCAAAUCCGCUUCUCGCGAAGCAUGAGCUGUGAUGGGGAAGGAAAUUAAGUACGGAAGUUCCUGAUUUCACGCUGUCAAGAAAAGCCUCUAGGAAGAGUAGUACUGCCCGUACCGCAAACCGACACAGGUAGAUGAGGAGAGAAUCCUAAGGUGAGCGAGAGAACUCUCGUUAAGGAACUCGGCAAAAUGACCCCGUAACUUCGGGAGAAGGGGUGCUCUAUUAGGGUGCAAGCCCGAGAGAGCCGCAGUGAAUAGGCCCAGGCGACUGUUUAGCAAAAACACAGGUCUCUGCAAAACCGUAAGGUGACGUAUAGGGGCUGACGCCUGCCCGGUGCUGGAAGGUUAAGAGGAGUGCUUAGCUUCGGCGAAGGUACGAAUUGAAGCCCCAGUAAACGGCGGCCGUAACUAUAACGGUCCUAAGGUAGCGAAAUUCCUUGUCGGGUAAGUUCCGACCCGCACGAAAGGCGCAACGAUCUGGGCACUGUCUCAACGAGAGACUCGGUGAAAUUAUAGUACCUGUGAAGAUGCAGGUUACCCGCGACAGGACGGAAAGACCCCGUGGAGCUUUACUGCAACCUGAUAUGGAAUGUUUGUACCGCUUGUACAGGAUAGGUAGGAGCCGAAGAGACGUGUGCGCUAGCAUACGAGGAGGCAAUGGUGGGAUACUACCCUGGCUGUAUGACCAUUCUAACCCGCCACGCUUAGCGCGUGGGGAGACAGUGUCAGGUGGGCAGUUUGACUGGGGCGGUCGCCUCCUAAAGAGUAACGGAGGCGCCCAAAGGUUCCCUCAGAAUGGAUGGAAAUCAUUCGCAGAGUGUAAAGGCACAAGGGAGCUUGACUGCGAGACUGACAAGUCGAGCAGGGACGAAAGUCGGGCUUAGUGAUCCGGUGGUUCCGCAUGGAAGGGCCAUCGCUCAACGGAUAAAAGCUACCCCGGGGAUAACAGGCUUAUCUCCCCCAAGAGUCCACAUCGACGGGGAGGUUUGGCACCUCGAUGUCGGCUCGUCGCAUCCUGGGGCUGUAGUCGGUCCCAAGGGUUGGGCUGUUCGCCCAUUAAAGCGGCACGCGAGCUGGGUUCAGAACGUCGUGAGACAGUUCGGUCCCUAUCCGUCGCGGGCGCAGGAAAUUUGAGAGGAGCUGUCCUUAGUACGAGAGGACCGGGAUGGACACACCGCUGGUGUACCAGUUGUUCCGCCAGGAGCAUCGCUGGGUAGCUAUGUGUGGCAGGGAUAAACGCUGAAAGCAUCUAAGCGUGAAGCCCCCCUCAAGAUGAGAUUUCCCAUUUCUUCGGAAAGUAAGAUCCCUGAAAGAUGAUCAGGUAGAUAGGU